GCAAAGCUAAAGUAUAAAACUUCAUGUCAUUCACAUUAGGUCACCGAUCAAAUCAUCCAUCAAAGAUGAAAGGAUCUCCUUCUCGAUGUCAACACCCUCUUCACAGGCUUCAAAGCUGAAAUCGGUCCACUUCCCGUCUUGUGUGCUCAUGUCCUUGUCAACAACCUCAUCCACCAUCAACUCUUCCAUGCUUGUCCAGCUGGCAAUCACUCUAUACACUUCUUCUGCUAACCACUCCUUUCUUUGGACCAAUGUUGUCCACUUAGCCCAAGCUUCAACACCUCUGCCGAAACUCAGUUUGCAUCUGAG
rnacentral:misc_RNA from 1 species